rnacentral:lncRNA from 1 species
GAGGCCGGAACCGCCGCCUCUAGGGAUGGACGGUUAGUGUCCGUGGGCCCCGCCGGGAGGUUGGGCGGCCGUCCCUCAUCCCUCGGAGGUGUCUCAGGGAGGAACGCCUAGCCACAGGGACCCCGGCCCAGGAUGGUGUCCAGCCUGAGGGGAAGGUUCUGGCGGUGCGGGAUGGGGACCACGGCUGGGAGUGGUUUUGUAGGAGUCCCUCUCUCAGACUUAGGGAGGGGGGACGGGGAAGAGAUUGGCGCGGGGGAGGCGUGAGGAGGAUUGCGGGGGUCCUGGGAUGGGCGAUGGGAAUGUCGAAGUUGGUUGGCGGUAAGCGUGUCCCUUGGGAGUACGUUUGUCAGCUCCUGGCAUCAGGAGUGGAGGGAAAGGGCUGGGAAGAGUUUUAUGUGCUUCGGUAUUGUUGAUAACUCACGUGAACUGAGUACUGUUCGGUGCCAGGGUUUCUGUAGCUACUGACAAGUGCAAACGUUUCACAGCAGUCCUUUGGGAUAGUCACUUAUUUUACAGGCGAGGGAGCUGAGGCUCAGACAAGGCAGGCCACUUUGCCUGGCCAAAGUCAAAUAGCUAAUCAAGAGACAGCAUGAGUAAGACUCCUGGACGAUGGGAGUUUAAAAUCUGAAAAAAAAAAAUAUUUUAGAAGCCUUCCAUUCCAGAGCUUGCCAGUGCACAUGUCUACGGGAGCAAGUUUGGUGGGCUGUGACUGAUAAACCAGUUGCCAAUCUGUACAGAAGCAGAUUGUUUUUAGGAGCAAGUCUCAAACUAUGAUAGCCAGUUAGUUAGUCAGUCGUAAGGCUAAAGGCAGCCUGGUUAGAAUCACUGUGGACACUCAGGCGCUCCCUGGGAAUAGCUGUUCUGAUAUCCAGCUUUUCAGAUGGGAACACUGAUGUCUGAGGAGACUGGAAGGGUCUGUGCUGCUUCACAGUUCAUUACUGCCCCUUCCUUCUGCAUUGCUGUGAAAGCCAGUGGAUGUAGCAUGGAAAGACAUGUUACCAUCGAAUGUGUUACAUCUGCUUAAAGGGUGCCUUUGUCCUUUGUCCUCGAGGCACUAUAAAAAAAUGCGUUUUAUCAGUUUGCCCUGUCCUGCUGUCGAACAGUGGUUCUUAAAAUCUAGGAGUCCUUGGACUCCUUUAAGCCUUUCCUUUACAAGACCUUUAAGCAAUAUAAGUGUGUAUUAUAUCUGUGAUGCUGCCACAUAAAUGCAAAAUUUCAAGACAUUUAUUCACUUAGAACGAACCUCAGGCCAAGAGCGGUGGUGCAUGCCUCUUCCCCAGCCCUCAGGACAUCUCUGUGAGGAUGACCUCUUCUACAAAGUGAGUGCCAGGUCAGCCAAAGCUAAGCUACUUGGGGAGGCCCUGUCUCUAAACAAACAAGAAACAGGAAACUCUUACUCCUGAACUUAGAUCUUUUAAGUGAAGAUAGCUGUGUGUACCCCUCCUCCAAAUAG